rnacentral:rRNA from 1 species
UACGUAGGGACCGAGCGUUGUCCGGAAUCAUUGGGCGUAAAGAGCGUGUAGGCGGCCACUUAAGUCCUGCGUGAAAUCUUGCGGCUCAACCGCAAGCGGUCGUGGGAAACUGGCAGGCUAGAGUGCGGGAGAGGAGAGUGGAAUUCCUGGUGUAGCGGUGAAAUGCGCAGAUAUCAGGAAGAACACCCGUGGCGAAGGCGGCUCUCUGGAACGCAACUGACGCUGAGACGCGAAAGCGUGGGGAGCAAACAGG